rnacentral:rRNA from 1 species
ACUACGGGUGGCUGCAGUGAGGAAUAUUGGUCAAUGGACGCAAGUCUGAACCAGCCAUGCCGCGUGCAGGAUGACGGCUCUAUGAGUUGUAAACUGCUUUUAUACGGGGGUAAACCCCGAUACGUGUAUCGUGUUGAAAGUAUCGUACGAAUAAGGAUCGGCUAACUCCGUGCCAACAGCCGCGGUAAUACGGAGGAGCCGAGCGUUAUCCGGAUUUAUUGGGUUUAAAGGGGGCGUAGGCGGUUUGAUAAGUUAGAUGUGAAAUGUCGGGGCUCAACCCCGAAAAUGCCUCCAAUCAUGUUGUACUAGUGAACAGUGGUGGUAGGCGGAAUGUAUGGUGUAGCGGUGACAUGCUUAGAGAUCAUACAGAACACCGAUUGCGAAGGCAGCUUACCAAACUAUAUCUGACGUUGAUGCACGAAAGCGUGGGUAGCAAACAGGAUUAGAUACCCUUGUAGUC